rnacentral:rRNA from 1 species
UACGUAGGUGGCAAGCGUUAUCCGGAUUUAUUGGGCGUAAAGGGAACGCAGGCGGUCUUUUAAGUCUGAUGUGAAAGCCUUCGGCUUAACCGGAGUAGUGCAUUGGAAACUGGGAGACUUGAGUGCAGAAGAGGAGAGUGGAACUCCAUGUGUAGCGGUGAGAUGCGUAGAUAUAUGGAAGAACACCAGUGGCGAAAGCGGCUCUCUGGUCUGUAACUGACGCUGAGGUUCGAAAGCGUGGGUAGCAAACAGG